rnacentral:rRNA from 1 species
GAUGAACGCUGGCGGCGUGCCUAAUACAUGCAAGUCGAGCGAAUGGAUAAGAGCUUGCUCUUAUGAAGUUAGCGGCGGACGGGUGAGUAACACGUGGGUAACCUGCCCAUAAGACUGGGAUAACUCCGGGAAACCGGGGCUAAUACCGGAUAACAUUUUGAACCGCAUGGUUCGAAAUUGAAAGGCGGCUUCGGCUGUCGCUUCUGAUGGACCCGCGUCGCAUUAGCUAGUUGGUGAGGUGACGGCUCACCAAGGCAACGAUGCGUAGCCGACCUGAGAGGGUGAUCGGCCACACUGGGACUGAGAAACGGCCCAGACUCCUACGGGAGGCAGCAGUAGGGAAUCUUCCGCAAUGGACGAAAGUCUGACGGAGCAACGCCGCGUGAGUGAUGAAGGCUUUCGGGUCGUAAAACUCUGUUGUUAGGGAAGAACAAGUGCUAGUUGAAUAAGCUGGCACCUUGACGGUACCUAACCAGAAAGCCACGGCUAACUACGUGCCAGCCGCCGCGGUAA